rnacentral:lncRNA from 1 species
CUUUCCACCCGAGCGCGAGGUAGACGCCGGGGCCACCCGCAGCACGCAGAGCUUCUGGGAGCCGGUGGCAAGGCCGAAUUGGGAUGCAAACCAAAUGGACGUGGGUGACUGGCAGAAAACGCCUCCCACAAAUGGGAGGGAUUUCGGAGGGAACCGAAAGAAAGUUGGAAACCAAGUUACAGCUGAAGCCAGGGCCUUCUCCUACCCGACUCCCGCGGCCCAUUAAAACCUACGUGAGCUUAUCUGAUACCUUCAAGCCCUGUUUUGUGGCCCCAUCUCCUCUUCAGAUGGCAAUGUGCCUAGCUACACUACAUUUCCUGCCUCCCUUGCAGCUAGAGGUGGCCAAUGAGAUAUAAACAGAUGCUGUAAGACAUGAUGUCUAGAUCCCUAGCAGUCAUCCCAGACCAUGAGAUAACUUUGAGAAGGAACACCAUGUACAAAGGACUGUGCAGAAGAGGGUUGGCAGGAGCCUGGAUCUCUGAUGACUUCACCCUUGACUGCCCACCUCACCAGGCUGUACAAGCCACUGUUACUGGCAGAUGAAUG